UUGUUGUCGAUUGUCACCGAUUUUAGUCGAUUGUCCCCGAUUGUUGUCGAUUGUCACCGAUUUUAGUCGAUUGUCCCCGAUUGUUGUCGAUUGUCACCGAUUUUGGUCGAUUGUCACCGAUUGUUACCGAUUGUCGCCGAUUGUCGCCGAAUGUUGCCGAUUGUCGUCAAAUGUCAGAGAUUGACCGUAAGAUUGAUAAUCUCGUUCAUCGUUAUUACUUGUGCUUCGAACAAGUCUAGACAUAAUAGAUAUUGUUUCGUUUUUUCGUGAAAAAUAAAUUUCAUAUAAUUGCGUCUUUUGAAAUCUGUAGUGAAAGACACAAAGUUACUACUUCUCUGCUACUAAUUUUCAUAUACACGCUUGAAUGAUCUAUUUUGUUUUCAUGAAAUAGCCGAUUAUCUAUUUGCUUAAACCAAAGGAGCAACGACGGUUAAUACCGAUUCUUUAAACGUCUAUUAAAUUUCCCAGAAGUAAUGUCCAGAUGAAAUAUUCCACAUUUUGGAACAUUUAUUUCGUUUCGUCUUGCCUUGACAGGACAAACCUGGUAUAACCUACACAAGUUUAGCUAUAUAAUAGACGCAUAAUGGAGACAAUAUCUUCUUGUUGCACUUGUAGUUUAUAAUCUAUUCAUAUCUAUCGUUAAAAUAAUAUACGCUCCGAACAAACAGUCUUAA